rnacentral:pre_miRNA from 1 species
UUUGGAUAUGGUCCGUAUGAAGAACUACUGCUUCAAAACAAUUGAGGUAAGUGGUUGCCAUAAAUAUG